rnacentral:rRNA from 1 species
AUUAUGGAGAGUUUGAUCCUGGCUCAGGAUGAACGCUGGCGGCGUGCCUAAUACAUGCAAGUCGAACGAACCAUAUAAAUGGUGAGUGGCGAACGGGUGAGUAACACGUAGGUAACCUGCCCUUAAGACGAGGAUAACCGUUGGAAACGAUGGCUAAGACUGGAUAGGAACAUUGAAGGCAUCUUCGAUGUUUUAAAAGACCUAGCAAUAGGUAUGCUUAAGGAGGGGCCUGCGGCGCAUUAGUUAGUUGGUGGGGUGAAAGCUUACCAAGACGAUGAUGCGUAGCCGGACUGAGAGGUUGAACGGCCACAUUGGGACUGAGAGACGGCCCAAACUCCUACGGGAGGCAGCAGUAGGGAAUUUUCGGCAAUGGGGGAAACCCUGACCGAGCAACGCCGCGUGAAUGA